AAGUCGUAACAAGGUUUCCGUAGGUGAACCUGCGGAAGGAUCAUUACAAUGUAUUGUCGGGGGCUGGUUGGAAUGGCGCAUCUGCGCUGUACUUGCCGGCCCUGUCUGCACAUUACCCCUGUUUUUUGCGUACCUACCUGUUUCCUCGGCAGGCUUGCCUGCCAGUGGACCUCUUAUAAACCUUUUUGUACUUGCAAUCAGCGUCAGAAAAUUUGAAUGGUUACAACUUUCAACAACGGAUCUCUUGGUUCUG
rnacentral:misc_RNA from 1 species